UCACUACAACAAAACUUGUAUAUAACACUACGCAUACGACAUUGGUUUUUGUUAAAGUCUGUGGUCAUAUGUGUUUUGUCUGUGGUAUUAUGUUUGUAUGUGGUCUUUUAGCAUAAAAAUAUGCUUAUAGACACUAGACUUAUAUGUCUGUUGUUUUAGAUGAGAAGUUAAAAGUAAUCUAUAACACCGAACCUAAUAAUCUAUAGUUGUAAGUGUGAUGUUAUUUAAAAGUUAAAAGAAUAAUUAAAAGUUGCUUUUAAAAAAAAUUAUCAAAGUGUAUUAUUUCCGUCACUCAUCCAAUUUUUUAGAGAAUAA
rnacentral:lncRNA from 1 species